rnacentral:rRNA from 1 species
UACGAAGGGGCUAGCGUUGCUCGGAAUCACUGGGCGUAAAGCGCACGUAGGCGGCUUCUAAGUCAGGGGUGAAAUCCUGGAGCUCAACUCCAGAACUGCCUUUGAUACUGGAGAGCUUGAGUCCGGAAGAGGUGAGUGGAACUCCGAGUGUAGAGGUGAAAUUCGUAGAUAUUCGCAAGAACACCAGUGGCGAAGGCGGCUCACUGGCCCGAU